GGCAGCAGUGGGGACGUUGGACAAUGGGCGCAAGCCUGAUUCAGCAUAAGAGGGGGGGAAGAAGGCCUGAGGGUUGUGAAGCACUUUCAAUAGAGACGAAAAGCCUAGGGUUAAUAGCUCUGGGUCUUGACUUAACCUAUAGAAGAAGCACCGGCUAACUCCGUGCCAGCAGCCGCGGUAAUACGGAGGGUGCAAGCGUUAAUCGGAAUUACUGGGCGUAAAGCGCUCGUAGGCGGUUUGUUAAGUCGGAUGUGAAAGCCCCGGGCUCAACCUGGGAACUGCAUUCGAUACUGGCAAACUAGAGUAUACAAGAGGCAAGUGGAAUUCCAGGUGUAUCUGUGACCUGCGUACACAUAAAGAAAAACAACAGUGGGGAACGCCCCCUGUAGGGCUAACUCUGAUGGUGGGGAGAAAACAUGUGCCGCGGACACGAGAAUAUAUCCCCCUGGGCUACACGAAAGAAAAUAAUUCAACCAGACGUUUGGGGUUUUAGCUCAUUAGAGGUGCUUCCUCCUCAAUACGUCGGCCCCCUGAAGACUCCCGCCCCCGUGAAAAAUUCUCUAAAGCAGCGCCGG
rnacentral:rRNA from 1 species